CGUUCUCAAUGUUCAUCUCCUUAUCAGAAUAUUCUCAAUAAUGCUUCAUCAUGUUUAUUAUAUAAGUCCAAGUAAGUUCAUCUCCUUAUCAGAAUAUUCUCAAUAAUGCUUCAUCAUGUUUAUUAUAUAAGUCCAAGAAAAAUGGUUGUAACCCAGGAGGAGAUCGAGAGAUUUCAGGAGGACGGAGCAAUUCUUCUCAAGCAGAAAAAUCUGGAAAAUCCAAGUGUAAACGCAGAGAGCAUUGCUUUGGAAGAGGGACAGGGGGCAUAUUUCAAUGAUUAUUGCAACUGGAGAAAAAUACCAGAGUUUAGAGAAUUUGUAUUUAACUCAGCUGCAGGAGAAAUAGCGGCGAAGGUUAUGAACUCAAAAUAUGCAGUUUUCUUUCAUGAACAUGUUUUAAACAAGGAACCAGGUACUGAGAAAUGUACUCCGUGGCACCAUGAUCAAGCAUAUUAUCCUAUUGAUGGUUGGAAUAUGAUCAGUUUAUGGAUACCAGUAGACCCAGUACCGGUACAGUCAACAUUGAGAUUUGUGAAGGGCUCCCAUAAGUGGGGUUGGUAUCAUCCAAGAAAAUUUGCGACUGAGUCUAAUUAUCCUGUCGCUGUUGAGCCUGAUAUCGACACAGAGACCGAUGGGGCAGGAGAGGUUGGUCGAGUUUAUCAAGAUGUUCCUCACAAGGAUAUAGAGGACGGUAAAUACCAGAUCCUCGAGUGGGAAUGUGAGCCGGGGGAUGUAGUUGUAUUCCAUGGUAAAACCCUGCACGGGGCGGGAGGGAACGCCUCUAGUAGUUCGCAUAGGCGUGUCCUCUCCACCAGAUGGGUGGGAGAAGGAACUGUAUUUGCUACAAGACCCUGGCAGGUGUCCCCGGAUCUAGAGAUAUAUGAAACAAAUUCUUCCUGUUUUAUAGGUGUCCCCAAAUCUAAAGGUUAUAAAAUGAAUUCUUCCUGUUCUAGGUGUCCCCGGAUCUAGAGAUUUUAAAAAAAAUUUCCUAUUCUAGAUGUUCCGGAUCUAGAGAUAUAUAAAACAAAUUCUUCCUGUUUUAUAGGUGUCCCCAAAUCUAAAGGUUAUAAAAUAAAUUCUUCCUGUUCUAGGUGUCCCCGGAUCUAGAGGUUUUAAAACAAAUUCUUCCUAUUCUAGGUGUCCCCAGAUCUAGAGGUUUAUAAAACAAAUUCUUCCUGUUCUAGAUGUCCCCGGAUCUAGAGGUUUAUAAAACAAAUUCUUCCUGUUCUAGAUGUCCCCGGAUCUAGAGGUUUAUUAAACAAAUUCUUCCUGUUCUAGGUGUCCCGGAUCUAGAGGUUUUAAAACAAAUUCUUCCUGUUUAGAUGUCCCCAGAUCUAGAGGUUUUAAAACAAAUUCUUCCUGUGCUAUAGGUGUCCCCGGAUCUUAUGAUUUUAAAACAAAUUCAUCCUGUUCUAGAUAUCCCCGGAUCUAGAGGUUUAUAAAAUAAAUUCUUCCUGUUCUAGGUGUCCCCGGAUCUAGAGAUAUAUAAAACAAAUUUUCCUAUUCUAGAUGUCCCCGAAUCUAGAGGUGUAUAAAAAUUUUUUUUGCCCUGCUAUAGGUGUCCCCGGAUCUAGAGGUUUAUAAAACAAAUUCUUCCUAUGCUAUAGGUGUCUCAGGAUCUAGAGCUUUAUAAAAUAAAUUCUUCACGUUCUAGAUGUCCCCGGAUCUAGAGGUUUUAAAACAAAAUUUUCCUAUUCUAGGUGUCCCAGGAUCUAGAGCUUUAUUAAAAAUUCUUCCUGUGCUAUAGGUGUCCUCGGAUCUAGAGCUUUAUAAAAUAAAUUCUUCUUGUGCUAUAGGUGUCCCUGGAUCUAGAGGUUUAUAAAAUAAAUUCUUCCUAUUCUAGGUGUCCCCGGAUCUAUAGGUUUAUAAAAUAAAUUCUUCCUAUUCUAGGUGUCCCCGAAUCUAGAGAUUUAUAAAACAAAUUCUUCCUAUUCUAGAUGUCCCCAAAUCUAGAGAUUUAUAAAACAAAUUCUUCCUAUUCUAGAUGUCCCCGAAUCUAGAGGUUUAUAAAAUAAAUUCUUCCUAUUCCAGAUGUCCCCAAAUCUAGAGAUUUAUAAAAUAAAUUCUUCCUAUUCUAGGUUUUACAAGAUCUACAUAUUUAUAAAACAAAAUCUUCCUAUUCUUGGUGUCCCCGGAUCUAGAGGCUUUAAAACAAAUUCUUCCUAUUCUAGGUUUUACAAGAUCUACAUAUUUAUAAAACAAAAUCUUCCUGUUCUAGAUGUCCCCGGAUCUAGAGGCUUUAAAACAAAUUCUUCCUAUUCUUGGUGUCCCCGGAUCUAGAGGCUUUAAAACAAAUUCUUCCUAUUCUAGGUUUUACAAGAUCUACAUAUUUAUAAAACAAAAUCUUCCUGUUCUAGAUGUCCCCGGAUCUAGAGGCUUUAAAACAAAUUCUUCCUAUUCUAGGUGUCCCCGGAUCUUGAGGUUUUAAAACAAAUUCAUCCUAUUCUAGGUGUCCCCGGAUCUAGAGGUUUUAAAACAAAUUCUUCCUGUUCUAGGUGUCCCCGAAUCUAGAGAUUUAUAAAGUAAAUUUUUCCUAUUCUAGGUGUCCCCGAAUCUAGAGGUUUAUAAAGCAAAUUCUUCCUAUUCCAGAUGUCCCCAAAUCU